UAAGGUAGCGAAAUUCCUUGUCGGGUAAGUUCCGACCUGCACGAAUGGCGUAACGAUGGCCACACUGUCUCCUCCUGAGACUCAGCGAAGUUGAAGUGUUUGUGAUGAUGCAAUCUACCCGCGGCUAGACGGAAAGACCCCAUGAACCUUUACUGUAGCUUUGCAUUGGAUUGUGAACCGGCUUGUGUAGGAUAGGUGGGAGGCGUUGAAGCGUGGUCGCUAGACUGCGUGGAGCCAACCUUGAAAUACCACCCUGGUUUGUUUGCGAUUCUAACCUUGGCCCGUUAUCCGGGUUGGGGACAGUGCAUGGUGGGCAGUUUGACUGGGGCGGUCUCCUCCCAAAGCGUAACGGAGGAGUUCGAAGGUACGCUAGGUACGGUCGGAAAUCGUGCUGAUAGUGCAAUGGCAUAAGCGUGCUUGACUGUGAGACUGACAAGUCGAACAGGUGCGAAAGCAGGACAUAGUGAUCCGGUGGUUCUGAAUGGAAGGGCCAUCGCUCAACGGAUAAAAGGUACUCUGGGGAUAACAGGCUGAUACCGCCCAAGAGUUCAUAUCGACGGCGGUGUUUGGCACCUCGAUGUCGGCUCAUCUCAUCCUGGGGCUGUAGCCGGUCCCAAGGGUAUGGCUGUUCGCCAUUUAAAGAGGUACGUGAGCUGGGUUUAAAACGUCGUGAGACAGUUUGGUCCCUAUCUGCCGUGGGCGUUGGAUACUUGACGGAGCCUGCUCCUAGUACGAGAGGACCGGAGUGGACGUACCGCUGGUGUAUCGGUUGUCAUGCCAAUGGCAUUGCCGAGUAGCUAAGUACGGAAGAGAUAACCGCUGAAGGCAUCUAAGCGGGAAACUCGUCUGAAGAUUAGGUAUCCCGGGGCCUAGAGCCCCCUGAAGGGUCGUUCAAGACCAGGACGUUGAUAGGUCGGGUGUGUAAGCGCAGUAAUGCGUUGAGCUAACCGAUACUAAUUGCCCGUGCGGCUUGAUCCU
rnacentral:ncRNA from 1 species